AUCAGUGGGUCACAUGAUAAAUCAUUAAGACUUUGGGAACGAACGGACGAACCGUUGUUUGUCGAAGAGGAGAGAGAAAUGGAGAGGGAAGCAGUUUACGAAGAAAGCGCCGUAACAGGAGUUGAAACAAUUAUUCCAGGUGAACAAGACACAGAAGCUGUUAAAGCUGGCAAGAAAACUAUCGAGACGAUCAAAGGAGCUGAAAGAAUCAUGGAGGCCAUUGAAUUGUAUAAG